ACAUGAUCAGAUGCUGUCCCUAUGAUCCUACUGCCUGUGCCGUGUAUCCCCCCAGCCCCAGCAUCCCAAUCAACAGCAAAGUCAAGACAGGACAAGAAAAAAGCAACGUAGGGAAGAAGCGAAGAAUUCAGCUUUAGACUUCACACGCACUGCUCUUCGCUUUGAAAACCAACAGAUGAAUCCCCCUUUGAGAUGGAGAGGGGGAAAAAAAAAUAAUGUUUGAGCUUUUGAAAACGUUCCCUGCGUUAUUUGCUGAAUUUGACUUCAAGCCGCAAAUAUUCCGCUCUCCAUAAAGGGCAUGCAUCUUCUUAAGCAGGUUUACCUUUCAGCUCUAACCACCGCUGGUCCCUGGUGCUUGCAGAUACGUUUCGCCGACAGGACCAGGCUUUUCAGGAACAGCCUUUAGCAGUGUCCUGGGGGCUCACAUCAAGAGGAGAAAUGACUAGGUUCUCUCUGUUCUACUUCUGAACACCUGCCCCUUCCUUUCAAUGCUUCCCCCUGCCUCAAAGAGUAGCUAAGCUGUAGGUUUUCAAUGAUUUUGUGUCUUUAUCCUAUUUAUGCAUUGCAGGACAUUAGAAACAACUGAGAACUGAAUCUUUCUCUCAAAGUCACAGCACACAGUGUAAGGCCCCCAGACAUUUCCCUGCAGUCAAAAAUCUCCUGAUAU
rnacentral:lncRNA from 1 species